CUCUACGUCGGCAAGUUCGCCGGCGGCGGGAGUGAGGCUGCCGUGCGCGACUGGUGUGCCCAGCAGGUCGUCGGUGCGGGGCCGAUCGCGGUGG
rnacentral:tRNA from 1 species